rnacentral:rRNA from 1 species
AUGUCAUGUGCAUUCCCUGUGCCCAUUAUUUGCUCACAUGACAUGAUUGCCAUGAUUUCUUCUAGUGUGUUGCAUUUUCGCUCCACUAGUUUGCACGACUUGAUUACUAUGCUUCCUUAUGUUGCAUCACCAAUGACUCAUACUUGCUCAUUUCAUGCGGUUGACGACAACCAUCUAUAUGCUUUGCACACGAUUCAUAUUGCUCCUUGUCAUAUCUCUCCAUAUGUUGACUCCCUCAUGCUAGAUGAUUUGCCAUGUAUUGAGUGCAAUUAUGCCUUUAUUCCUUAUAAUGAGUUUGCCCCCAUAGCGCAUUCUCACAUAUAUUUGGAGAUUUUGACAUAUUCCUUGUGA